rnacentral:rRNA from 1 species
GACGAACGCUGGCGGCGUGCUUAACACAUGCAAGUCGAACGGAAAGGCCCUGCUCUUGUGGGGUGCUCGAGUGGCGAACGGGUGAGUAGCACGUGAGUAACCUGCCCUUGACUUUGGGAUAACUUAAGGAAACUGGGGUUAAUAUCGGACAGGAGCUCCUGCUGCAUGGUGGGGGUUGGAAAGUUUCGGCGGUUGGGGAUGGACUCGCGGCUUAUCAGCUUGUUGGUGGGGUAGUGGCUUACCAAGGCUUUGACGGGUAGCCGGCCUGAGAGGGUGACCGGCCACAUUGGGACUGAGGUACGGCCCAGACUCCUACGGGGGGCAGCAGUGGGGAAUAGUGCGCAAUGGGCGGAAGCCGGAUGCAGCAACGCCGCGUGCGGGAUGACGGCUUUCGGGUUGGAAACCUCGUUCGCCUGUGACGAAGCGUGAGUGACGGUAAUGGGUAAAGAAGCACCGGCUAACUACGUG